rnacentral:rRNA from 1 species
GAGGGGGUGCAAACGUUAUUCGGAUUUACUGGGCGUAAAGGGUGCGUAGACGGCUUAUUAAGUUCGUUGUUAAAUCUUCCGGCCUAACCGGGAAGCUCGCAAUGGAAACUGAUAGGCUAGAGGAUGAAAGAGAGAAGCGGAAUUCUCGGAGUAGCGGUAAAAUGCGUAGAUCUCGAGAGGAACACCGAUGGCGAAGGCAGCUUCUUGGUUCAUUCCUGACGUUGAGGCACGAAAGCGUGGGUAGCAAACAGGAUUAGAUACCCUGGUAGUCCACGCCGUAAACGAUGAUCACUAGAUGUUGGCAUUGCUUUGCGAUGUCGGUAUCGUAGCUAACGCGUUAAGUGAUCCGCCUGGGAAGUACGGUCGCAAGAUUA